rnacentral:rRNA from 1 species
UACGGGGGGGAGCAAGCGUUGUUCGGAUUUACUGGGCGUAAAGGGCGCGUAGGCGGUCAGCACAAGUCAGUUGUGAAAUCUCCGGGCUUAACUCGGAAAGGUCAACUGAUACUGUGCGACUAGAGUGCAGAAGGGGCAACUGGAAUUCUCGGUGUAGCGGUGAAAUGCGUAGAUAUCGAGAGGAACACCUGCGGCGAAGGCGGGUUGCUGGGCUGACACUGACGCUGAGGAGCGAAAGCAUGGGGAGCGAACAGG